rnacentral:lncRNA from 1 species
CCCAAUUUCAUAAACCCUAAAUUAGAAGAAAAAAACUACAAUAACUAACAUUAUCAAUUUGAAACACUUUAACAUGAGGUUGAAGAUGAGGAAGAUGAGGAACAUGAGGUUGAAACACUUUUGGAUCGGAGAAGAUGAGGAAGUAGAACAUGAAGUUGAAGAUCAAGAAGGGGAGAUUAUUACCUUGGGGAGGAAUGGCCGGAGUGCUCAAUCAAAUCGCCCGGAGAAGCUACAAACGCCCUUGGGGAGAACUUUCGACACCUUGGGAGAAGUUUGGGAGAGUUUGAAGAAGUGAGGAAACCGUUGGGAGAAAUGAGAAAAGUCUGAAAUUUUUUGACUUAUAUAAAAAAU